UCUUGAACACAAUGACAGGAAGACCUGGCACAUGCUUGGUCUCCACAGCUGAAUAUAAGGGGCUGUGCACUCGGAACGUAACUCCAAAACAGAGCCAUCACCUGCGUCAGGCAAAUAGGACACCAGCUGAAGUUACUUCACCCCAUCCACAGAUACGAUAGAGUUGACCUUGUGCGACUGGACUGGCUGCAGCAGAGAUGACUUUGUGGGACUGGACCCAGUUGCUGGUGCAGUUGACUUUCUGAGAACAGAAUGGGAAGCCGCAAGUCAGAGCAGGACAUAGUGGUACAAGAUUCGCUGACAACUACCAGAGGGCAACCACCCCAUGAUGCCUACUUGACCAGCACUGAAUUCAUGAAUGAAGUUUCAGGACAUGGAUUCUGAGCUAGAGGGAGCUUUGCAGGAACUGACUGAAACCGUUCUUAACAGCUAAUACUUCUAAUCUGUUUAUACUUGACUACUUUAUUCCUUGAACAAAUGCCAUUGCAAGUGUAGUGUUUAAAAGAGGCAACCAGCCUUUUUUGAGACAUCUAUUUCUUCAUAAUACUGGAGAAGUUCAUCGAUGAACUACUGUGAUCGCUAAGGCAGAAAUUGGCGGAGACAGCAUUUAGGGCCACUGUAUCAACAAUGGAGUACAAAAGUUAAUUAUACAGUCCUACUAAACCAUGAAUAGAGUGGUCUGAAGACUGACCUAUACUCUUCCUUACAGCCACCUGGAAUUGCCCAAGGUUCUUCAGCCUCCAACGGCAGACCAUCAAAAGAGGAUUAGCGUUCAGUUGCCUAACACCUGUGUGGCGUUGUCUGGACACCUGGCCUCCUCCCCAACUGGCAGAUGACAACCCCUGAGAAUCAUUAUGCAUCAACCAUCAUGGAAGCUGAGCUGCACUCAUCCUGGUGAUCUCCUGAGGACUCAGAAGUAAAUGUGUCCUGAUGUUGCAGGGAAGGAAUAGGAAGAAAAAGAUUCUCUAUUCUCUCUCUCACACACACACACAGAUCCAUGCAGCCCAGGGCACAAUAUGGCCCACACUGACUAAACAGCUAUACUUUGGAUUUCACACCUGUAUUGAAAUGUAAAGUUCAACAUUUCCUUCUCCUGCCCAUUCCCCAUUACAGUAAAUACAAAAUUUAAAAAACUAAAUACAAUCAUGUCUGGUCAAAUAUUCUGACUUUUUAUUUGUACAAGUAAAAUAAGAUGCUGCUGUGUACUUUAGGGAUUAAAUAGACUUUUACACUGUAAUUAGAGUGUAAGUGACAAAUAAUUUAAUAGCCACAUUUAUAAAUUAACAAAAUACUUCAUGAUAUGACAUUGUACCCAGCCAGUUAUUAGUCACUUCUAAUAUUGAAGUAAAAGUAUUCAUGCUGCUAUGUUAACAAUAAAAUAAGUAAAUGUUAUAUUCUGUUUAAAAGCUCUUGCAUUUUAUCAUAGUGUUUCCCUGGCUUCAUAGGGACCUUAUUUUUAUGUGAUCCAAAGCAACCGAAUUUUACAAAGAAUUUUGUUGCAAAACUGUCAACUGCACUCUGAAAAGUAUGUAGCAACUAUUUCUAUAUACAGCAUUUUCAAGAAACAAGAUGUUUGCUAAUAGAUCUUAACUAUAAUUUACAAUACAACAAUAAUCUGUGUACUGAUUUUGUUGAAUCAUUUUAACAGUGUUUUAUUGCCUUUUAACAACAGCAGAGUAAGUGUAAGUUAAUUUACUAUAAAAGACAUGGCAUUUAAUGUAUAGUAAGACUAAAGGAACUUACACAAUAGUAUAUUGCUAGUAAGCAUAAUUCUUGUCGACGAGGAAGACUGACACUAAUGUCAGAAUUAAAUUGUAAUCUUAAAGUGAAAAAAAGCCUGUAGUAAAUUAUAAUGUAAUUUCAUUUUCAUGUACAGAACAUAAAUGUACUUCUA